rnacentral:rRNA from 1 species
UAUCUAGAACUCACAGGUCCUACUCGUGCUGUUGUGCCUGAUUUCGAUCCAGGGAGCUUUGAGGUUGUGCUCAAAGUUAAGGGUGCAACUCAAUCUGCUGAUAGAGACCUAAGUUUUCUAGUCCUGCCAUUAAAAGAACGUUAUCAAUAUCAUAGGUAUUAUACUAGUAAAUAUAGCACAUUGGAGUUAACACUCCGCCGUGUUGAUUGUUCUGUGGAGGCAACAAUCAGUAUGCGACUCGCUACUGGUUCAUCAUGGCCACGCGGUUUCCAGGGUGUAUUUACCGCCAGUAUUGCCAGUAUAGAUGAUGCUGAAGUUUCCUUGCUUUCUUUUGAAGAUGAUAAAUUGCUAGUUAUUGCCGAUGAUGGCAUCAUCAAGCUGACACGACGCGUUGUCUCCGUUGAACGAGAGCAUGGAGAGCUGAAAGUUUCUGCCACAGCAUGGUGCGCAAAUGAUGAGCAAGAUGCUAUGAAAAAUGACAUAGUUUUCACACCUAGGUUCGCGGGUAGAAGUUGUGGUGUGCUUAACGUUGGCAGAUGUAAGAUCCAAAUCACUGUGGCUUGGUCCCUUUUUGACUCGUAA